CCUGAGUGCAGUUGGGCAGAGUGAGGUAUUGAUAGGAACACUAAGGAUAGUACUAACAGUCAUCAUUUACACCUCGUGUGUGCCAGGAAGGGGCCAGGUCCCACAUGAUCUCAGUUCAUCUUUACAACACCCUGAAGGAUGGUCUUGUUAUCUUCUCCAUUUUGCAGAUGAGGAAACUGAGGCUGAGAGGGUAGAGAACUUUGCCUGAGGUCACUCAGCAGGGACCCACCCAUCACAGUAAAUGCCAGCACUGCUGAUGCCAAAACAAUGUUAUUUGUAGGCCCUCGGAAUUUGUGACCUGAAGGAAGAAGAGCAGGGCCGUGGGAAGUAUGUAACCAGUGUCAUGCCCCUGGUCCCAAGGAAGCAGUGGCUUGGCCUGAACACCCUGUCCUACCUGGUCCUACCUGGAUGCUGGCCUCAGUAAGCUCCUGGGCUCAUUGAAGAUGAACCUAGCAGUAGUAUUUACACCACUUGUUGUGUGCCCACUGUGGGCCCGGCGCCAUGCCGAGUGCUCUAUGGAUGUGAGAUGAGAACACUGAAGCAGUUUUUUCUAAAGAUAGCUGCCUGGCACAGUGGCUCACAUCUGUAGUCCCAGCAUUUGGGGAGGCCAAGGCAGGUGGAUCACUUGAGGCCAGGAAUUCAAGACCAGCAUGGCCAACAUGGUAAAACCCCAUCCCUACUAAAAAUACAAAAAUUAGCUGGGCGUGGUGGCACCUGUAAUCCCAACUACUCAGGAGGCUGAGGCAGGAGAAUUGCUUGAACCCAGAGGCGGAGGUUGCAGUGAGCCAAGAUCACGCCACUGCACUCCAGCCUGGGCAACAGAGCAAGACUCCGUCUUGGGGAAAAAAAUGCAAAAAUUAGCCAGGCAUGAUAGUGGGCACAUGUAAUCCCAGCUACUUGGGAGGCUGAGGCAGGAGAAUCGCUUGAACCUGGGAGGCAUAGGUUGCAGUGAGCCAAGAUUGCGAUUGCACCACUGCACUCCAGCCUGAGUGACAGAGCAAGACUCCAUCUCAAAAAAAAAAAAAAAGCCAAAGAAUAUAUAUUAGGUUGGUGCAAAAGUAAUUGCAGUUUUUGCCAAUACAAGUAGUUUACAGAAAGAGAAAUAUCAGUGGCCCAUAAACAUGUAGAAAGAUGUUUAAUAGCACUCAUAAUUCAAGAAAUGCAAAAUAAAACUAAAAUUAAACAUCACUUUUUCACCUUUCUGCUUGGCAAAAAUGAAAACAUUUGCCAAUACUCAGGGAUGGUGAGAAAAACUACUUAUAUAACUUAUAUAACUGUUCCUCUGUAGAUUCUGAGUUCUAUCCUAGUAACAGUUCAUGUCACCAAAAAACUACACAUUAGAACCACCUUAGCUUAGCUGCCCAGGAAAAAUGCCUUCAGCCAAGUUCCAUUUUAAUGUUAUACGCUUGGCAUCUCUUGAUGGUUGGCAGAAGAAAUGACCACAUGAAAAGCUGCAUUUUUUUGUCCUGGAAAAACCACCACUAAAGGCAUUGUAAUCUACAUUGAGUAUAUAAGGAAGGGCCCACACAAUAAAUUAUCUGCAGUAUUUACUACCAGGAAAGAUUUACUUUCUCCUGAAGACCUGAUGUGUUAUUUUGCCAUACGAUGGUAAUCAUAUAAACCUCUGUUUCUCGUUUCUCCUUGGCUGCUAAGAAGCUCAAAAAUCACAUCUGAUGAUCCACUCUAGUGACAACAUAGCCAGGGCGAUUGGCAUCUGACUUCUCAACCCAACCUGACCUCAUAUUAGCUUUUUUCUUUUGUCUCCUCUCCCCUUCCAUUAGUUUCUCUUCUUCCACUUGCUGUUUAGUUUUCUAAUUCUAGCUUAACAAAAUUAUUAUAAAUGUGUGUUUUUGGAAGCUAUUUCAAAAUCUUUUGGAAGUAGAUAGGAUAUGUUACAAAUAGUCAAACUCCCUUAGUUUAUAGAUGAGAAAACUCAAGUUCUUUAGAAGUUAAAUGACUUAUUCCAGUGUUAAUCAGCUUAUAUCUGUGUGCACAUGUGACUCUCACUUUAUUGUAAGUGUCUUAGAAUUAUAUUUAUCUCUGAGACUCUGGUGGCCAGCUUUGAGCCAAGUACAUGGUAAAUUGUCAAUGUAUAUAUAUUGGUUGAAAAAAUUCUAAGUGCUGUGAGGAAAGGGACAUUUUUGCAGGGGAUAAGGUCGUAGUAGGUGCUCAUGAGAACUGAAUUCACAACAGGGCGUGGCCUCAGCCUCUGGCCUCACCCCACCACACCCUAGCAUCUCCACCACCCAGGAGUCUCAGGGCUGGGCUUCAUGCAACCCAUCUGCCCUACACCUGCCCGCACUCUGCCUUUGUCUCCACUAUUCCACUUUGGCCCUCUUGCCUUGUCCAGUGAGUUUCCAAAUAUUUCUCUUUUUUUUUGAGACGGAGUCUUGCUCUGUCACCCAGGCUGGAGUGCAGUGUUGCGAUCUCGGCUCACUGCAAGUUCCACCUCCUGGGUUCAAGUGAUUCUCCUGCCUCAGCCUCCAGAGAAGCUGGGACUACAGGUGCCCGCCAUCAUGCCCGGCUAAUUUUUUUUGUAUUUUUAGUAGAGACGGGGGUUUCACUGUGUUAACCAGGAUGGUCUCGAUCUCCUGACCUCGUGAUCUACCCGCCUCAGCCUCCGAAAGUGCUGGGAUUAGAGGUGUGAGCCACCGUACCCAGCUGAGUUUCCAAAUAUUUCUGAUUUCACCAGCGGGGGAAGACUGGCAGGCUCCUAUAUCCUCGAAGUAUCCUGCCAUGAGAUGCCUGCAGAGUGGGGAAUGGCAUCACCUUUCCAACCCUGUGCAGCACCCAGUGCGAGCUGCUUAUUAGUGGGAACUGGAGAGGAAGAGGAGGAAAAGGAGGACCCAUGGCCAUGGCUUUUUCUGUCCUUGUAACCCUCAACUGAUAUGUAUCCCAUACUUCUUGGUUGGGCAGAGGGGAGAGCAGAGGUUGACAGGUCACAUUUCCCUCAGUUUUCCAUCCUUCCUUCAGUGCUGGGAGAGAAAAGCAUACGACAUAGACAGGGAGGUCAAGCUCCACCACGCAGAUGAGGUGCAGGCCACCAGUCUUCCUCUGCCACAUCUCUUUCUGAAAAGGACUUCACAUUCACCCUUGCAAUCCAUGUGGGGACACUGUUGGAUAGGAGGCGUGGUCCCAGCGUGGUCUCCCUGUCUGGGCCUCUGCCUAUGCCAAAUGUUUGCCUUACGCUGCACACUCAAGAGGUUCCAUGUAUACAGAUGGGAAUUCCAGAGCUACAGAAAAGGCAGCAAGCACCAUGAUUUAAGCUAACCAGUGUGGAUUCACACCUUCCUCUCUCUCUAUCAGUGGCAGAACUACCAGCUAGAGUAAGAAGUGGUUGAUCCAGGACCUAAACAUUCUGGAAACUCUUGCCCACUUCUGGGAGAAAUGACCCAAUCCAUAGUACUAAGCACACCUUAACUUUCGUAGGACGCAGGCAAGUUGUCAUACCGUGUGCCUAAAUAUAGAAAAAUGAUCCACUGGACUAAUAAAGUGUUAAAUAAAAUAUGUCCUGACUGUCUACUUUGACAACAUACUUUCAUAAUGACAAAACUUAAAAAUGUAUAAAGCUAUGGUUUUUAUAUAGUUGAAAAUUGACAAAACAGAAGACUAAAUUUACUUAUUAUUGCACAUGAUGGGCGGGCUAUGUUUGGUUGAG
rnacentral:lncRNA from 1 species